UACGUAGGGUGCAAGCGUUAAUCGGAAUUACUGGGCGUAAAGCGUGCGCAGGCGGUUUUGUAAGUCUGUCGUGAAAUCCCCGGGCUCAACCUGGGAAUUGCGAUGGAGACUGCAAGGCUAGAAUCUGGCAGAGGGGGUAGAAUUCCACGUGUAGCAGUGAAAUGCGUAGAUAUGUGGAGGAACACCGAUGGCGAAGGCAGCCCCUGGGUCAAGACUGACGCUCAUGCACGAAAGCGUGGGGAGCAAACAGG
rnacentral:rRNA from 1 species